AUGAAGUCAUAACACACACAAAAACAUGCGGUUCCUUAUAAUGCUUCUCCUCAUGGCUCUCGCCCUCGCCUUCGUCGGUGCCAAGACCAUGCCCUGCUGCUACGGCGGGCACUACGGUCACGGUCACUUCGGAGGUCACCAUCACCACCAUCACCACGGCGGUUUUUGGGGCUGAUCUCACGAAGGGCGAACACACGAUCUCCACAAAGACAACGACAUACGUAGGAAAUACAGGAGCUUCUUCCAUUCUUCUUCCUCUUCUUCACGUUUUUGGUUCUGGUUCGUUUUAUGGCACACGAUUCACGGCAAUAAAUAUGAGUAUCCC
rnacentral:misc_RNA from 1 species